rnacentral:rRNA from 1 species
UACGUAGGGGGCAAGCGUUGUCCGGAAUCAUUGGGCGUAAAGCGCGUGUAGGCGGUCCGGUAAGUCGGCUGUGAAAGUCCAGGGCUCAACCCUGGGAUGCCGGUCGAUACUGCCGGGCUAGAAUCCGGAAGAGGCGAGUGGAAUUCCUGGUGUAGCGGUGGAAUGCGCAGAUAUCAGGAGGAACACCAAUAGCGAAGGCAGCUCGCUGGGACGGUAUUGACGCUAAGGCGCGAAAGCGUGGGGAGCAAACAGG